GACGAACGCUGGCGGCGUGCCUAAUACAUGCAAGUCGAACGCUGAAGGAGGAGCUUGCUUCUCUGGAUGAGUUGCGAACGGGUGAGUAACGCGUAGGUAACCUGCCUGGUAGCGGGGGAUAACUAUUGGAAACGAUAGCUAAUACCGCAUAAUAGUAGAUGUUGCAUGACAUUUGCUUAAAAGGUGCAAUUGCAUCACUACCAGAUGGACCUGCGUUGUAUUAGCUAGUUGGUGGGGUAACGGCUUACCAAGGCGACGAUACAUAGCCGACCUGAGAGGGUGAUCGGCCACACUGGGACUGAGACACGGCCCAGACUCCUACGGGAGGCAGCAGUAGGGAAUCUUCGGCAAUGGACUGAAGUCUGACCGAGCAACGCCGCGUGAGUGAAGAAGGUUUUCGGAUCGUAAAGCUCUGUUGUAAGAGAAGAACGAGUGUGAGAGUGGAAAGUUCACACUGUGACGGUAUCUUACCAGAAAGGGACGGCUAACUACGUG
rnacentral:rRNA from 1 species